rnacentral:lncRNA from 1 species
ACAAUUAUAAGAAAAUACAUCUCCGUCAUGUUUGUGUUAUAUAUAUCAAAAUAAAGACAUACAAAUUCUAUUUGCAUCCAUCCUUAAAGUAAAGAAUUUUACCUCGUGACGACAUCAUCUCCUAUGUGAAUUCUCUAUCCGGCUUAGCCUUAAGUGACCCUAUGGUGGUCCCAAGGCGUAAUUCUUGAGCCAACGUCAAUACCGACAUCACACUAUCGUUUGUCGUUCCAAUGUAAUGACUCGAAUACCUCGAGAGAUAUUUUUAUUCCCUUCAAGAGCGUGAAUCAAUUCGGUCCACCAUAAGCGAGAGUACCUGAAAUCACCCUUACCCUUGUAAUACUCUUACGAAAGAACCCUGUGGUUUCCUCAAAAAAUGGAACCCAUUCAUGAAGAGGGAGGAAUGGUGGAGAU